rnacentral:rRNA from 1 species
CCUACGGGAGGCAGCAGUGGGGAAUCUUGCGCAAUGCGCGAAAGCGUGACGCAGCAACGCCGCGUGGGGGAAGAAGGCCUUCGGGUUGUAAACCUCUUUCAGUUGGGACGAAGCCUUGCGGGUUAAUAGCCCGUGGAGGUGACGGUACCUUCAGAAGAAGCCCCGGCUAACUACGUGCCAGCAGCCGCGGUAAUACGUAGGGGGCAAGCGUUGUCCGGAAUCAUUGGGCGUAAAGAGCGUGUAGGCGGCCCGAUAAGUCCGCUGUGAAAGUCCAGGGCUCAACCCUGGAAUGCCGGUGGAUACUGUCGGGCUCGAAUCCGGAAGAGGUGAGUGGAAUUCCUGGUGUAGCGGUGAAAUGCGCAGAUAUCAGGAGGAACACCAAUGGCGAAGGCAGCUCACUGGGACGGUAUUGACGCUGAGACGCGAAAGCGUGGGGAGCAAACAGGAUUAGAUACCCUGGUAGUCCACGCCGUAAACGAUGGUCACUAGGUGUGGGGGGUGUCGACUCCCUCCGUGCCGGAGCUAACGCAUUAAGUGACCCGCCUGGGGAGUACGGCCGCAAGGCUAAAACUCAAAGGAAUUGACGGGGCCCGCACAAGCAGCGGAGCUUGUGGUUUAAUUCGACGCAACGCGAAGAACCUUACCUGGGCUUGACAUGUGGGUGACCGCCGUGGAAACACGGCUUCCCUUCGGGGCACCUUCACAGGUGGUGCAUGGCUGUCGUCAGCACGUGUCGUGAGAUGUUGGGUUAAGUCCCGCAACGAGCGCAACCCUCGUUCGAUGUUGCCAGCGCGUUAUGGCGGGGACUCAUCGAAGACUGCCGGGGUCAACUCGGAGGAAGGGUGGGGGAUGACGUCAAGUCAUCAUGCCCCUUAUGUCCAGGGCUUCACGCAUGCUACAAUGGUCGGUACAAAGGGCUGCGAUACCGUGAGUGAGCGAAUCCCAAAAGCCGGUCUCAGUUCGGAUCGGGGUCUGCAACUCGACCCCGGUGAAGUCGGAGUCGC